AUAACCUCAAAUCAGGCAGGACUA
rnacentral:rRNA from 1 species